UGUCCGCUUAGCUUAGACUGGGAAAGCAACCGACUAAUAAUCGGAAGGUCACUGGUUCAAAUCCAGUAGUGGACACCCA
rnacentral:tRNA from 2 species